rnacentral:rRNA from 1 species
AGUGAACGCUGGCGGUAGGCCUAACACAUGCAAGUCGAACGGCAGCACAGUAAGAGCUUGCUCUUACGGGUGGCGAGUGGCGGACGGGUGAGGAAUACAUCGGAAUCUACUUGUUCUUGGGUGAUAACGUAGGGAAACUUACGCUAAUACCGCAUACGACCUACGGGUGAAAGCAGGGGAUCUUCGGACCUUGCGCGAUUGAAUGAGCCGAUGUCGGAUUAGCGAGGUGGCGGGGUAAAGGCCCACCAAGGCGACGAUCCGUAGCUGGUAUGAGAGGAUGAGCAGUCACACUGGAACUGAGACACGGUCCAGACUCCUACGGGAGGCAGCAGUGGGGAAGAUUGGACAAUGGGCGGAAGCCUGAUCCAGCCAUGCCGCGUGUGUGAAGAAGGUCUUCGGAUUGUAAAACACUUUAAGUGGGAAGGAAGGGCAGUAAGUUAAUACCUUGCUGUUUGGACGUUACCAACAGAAUAAGCACCGGCUAACUUCGUG